AGGUGUUUCAAUUUGCAAUAAAAGGUUUAUUAAAAUCAUGAGGGCGUAUGAACUGCAUUACAAGACAUGCACUGAAUUUAAACAUGAAAUACAAAAAAUACAAGUAAUACCUCAGCUUAAUACAACAUAUUUCCAACAUUAUGCAUAAUUAUACAUGUAUAAAAAUUCAGGCCUGUAGUUGAGAUGUCUGUGAGGGGGUUAUUGGCAGUCUUGACGCUUUAACUUAAAUAGUCAAAAUUCAGUCUGAUUCAACACUAAUAAAGUUAUAGGAAGAUGUGGUAUGAGUGCCAAUGAGACAACUCUCCAUCCAAAUCACAAUUUAUAAAAGUAAACCAUUAUAGGUCAAGGUACAGUCUUCAACACAGAGCCUUGGCUCAACAGUUUAUAAUAUUUAUUUUUCUAUGGGACAUGCUCUUCUUAACACCCUAUACCACCCUGGCUGCUGUUGUGAUUUUGCACAAUUGUGUUUACUAUAUAUAAAGUAUCUUAUACCUUCUUUUCAUGCUCUUAUUUCUAACCAUUUUGAAUCGUAAGACCUUUAUUUUUAGAUUUAAUAGUACUAUUUAUAGAAGGUUGAAUUAUUAAUGAUAGGGCAUUACUGUAUUGCAGGGUUGACAUUAAUAUAAUUGGGUACUGAUAUAAAACUAAUGGAGACUGAACUAUUUCAAGUUCUACAAAUUGUACUACAUGGCCUAAAUGUAGGUAAUAAUGACAUUUCUUUUAUGGGCAGUCUUUCAGGAGACACAAGUGAGGUGGAAUAAUUGGACCAAACCAUGCACAAAACUAAGUGCCUAAAUCCUAAACAAAUCAUCACAUCUGCAUAAUGAAGCUAUUAUUUAUUAUCCAUACAUCUACACUUUAAUCUUUAGUACAAUGUAAUAUCUAUUUCCUCAGGUUAAAGUUUGAACAAUCAAGUUUCAUCUCCGCAAAAAUAUACAACCCUUUAU
rnacentral:lncRNA from 1 species